rnacentral:lncRNA from 1 species
CCCCCUCCCAGGUGCUCCUGUCUCUCCCAGGGCCUCCACCCUGGGUGUGGGCCAGCAGGGGAGCAGCCGCCUGCUAUUCACCUCCAGUUCUUCAGGUCCACCAUGACUUUGGCCAUUGCCAUGGCAACCAUCUUGCACGUGGGUGGCCUGGCAGCCUAGCCAGCGGAUGGAUGUGCUGCCCUUCCUGGGGCAGUUCUGAGGCACCCCAUGCCGUGCCACCCCAG